rnacentral:rRNA from 1 species
UUCCCCGUCAAUUCAUUUGAGUUUUAACCUUGCGGUCGUAAUCCCCAGGCGGGGUGCUUAAUGCGUUAGCUGCGGCACGGAACCCGUGGAAGGGAUCCCACACCUAGCGCCCAACGUUUACGGCGUGGACUACCAGGGUAUCUAAUCCUGUUCGCUCCCCACGCUUUCGCUCCUCAGCGUCAGUAUCGGCCCAGAGACCCGCCUUCGCCACCGGUGUUCCUCCUGAUAUCUGCGCAUUUCACCGCUACACCAGGAAUUCCAGUCUCCCCUGCCGAACUCCAGCCUGCCCGUAUCGACUGCAAGCUCGGGGUUGAGCCCCGAGUUUUCACAGCCGACGCGACAGACCGCCUACGAGCUCUUUACGCCCAAUAAUUCCGGACAACGCUUGCACCCUACGUAUUACCGCGGCUGCUGGCACGUAGUUGGCCGGUGCUUCUUCUGCCCCUACCGUCACUCUCGCUUCGUCAGGGCUGAAAGAGGUUUACAACCCGAAGGCCGUCAUCCCUCACGCGGCGUCGCUGCGUCAGGCUUUCGCCCAUUGCGCAAGAUUCCCCACUGCUGCCUCCCGUAGGAGUCUGGGCCGUGUCUCAGUCCCAGUGUGGCCGGUCGCCCUCUCAGGCCGGCUACCCGUCGUCGCCUUGGUAGGCCAUCACCCCACCAACAAGCUGAUAGGCCGCGGGCCCAUCCCUAGCCGCACAAGGCUUUCCACCCCACAAGCAUGCACCAUGGAGUCAUAUCCGGUAUUAGACCCAGUUUCCCAGGCUUAUCCCAGAGCUAAAGGCAGGUCACCCACGUGUUACUCACCCGUUCGCCGCUCGUGUACCCCCGAAAGGGCCUUACCGCUCGACUUGCAUGUGUUAAGCACGCCGCCAGCGUUCGUCCUGAGCCAUGAUCAAACUCU